CAGAGGAGCAGAAGGAGCAGGUCGAGUUUCAGUCCUUCUCUGUGGGCAUCAGAGAUCCUGAGGGAAGGAGGCAUCCAUCCAGUCCCCUUCAGGAGCUGUUUUUCAGGAGGAUCUCUCAGGAUGAUCCAAGUGAGGACACCUCAGGAGGGAAGACUCGAACAAAGUUGUCUGCUGUCUCUGGUGCAGCUGAAACAGUGGCUGAACCUCCAGCUCCAGUAAGAAGAGGAAAUUUAUCUUUUGAUUUUGUAUUCUCCCUUUCCAUCAGGCAGUCAAGCUGGUGUAUGUAGGACUCUCUCCUUCCAUUUUCCCCCCUUUUUUGGGCCUGGGUGUUUUCUUGUCCUUGAGCAACAUUGAAUGGGGAAUG